GCCCAGGUGGCGGAAUUGGUAGACGCGCCAGCUUGAGGGGCUGGUUCCGAAAUUCGGAGUGGAGGUUCGAGUCCUCUCCUGGGCA
rnacentral:tRNA from 1 species